rnacentral:rRNA from 1 species
AAAGGUAAAUAAGGGCACUAAUAGUGGAUGCCUUGACAAUCAAUACCGACGAAGGACGUAGAACUCUGCGAUAAGUCUUGGGGAGCUGAGAGCAAGCUUUGAUCCAGGAAUCUCCGAAUGGGGCAACCUAAUACGAGUCAUGUCGUAUUGCAAUUACUUGAACACAUAGAGUAAUUAGACGGGAACCAGCCGAACUGAAUCAUCUUAGUAGGUUGAGGAAAAGAGAAUAAACAAUGAUUCCGAAAGUAGUGGCGAGCGAAAUUGGAACAGCCCAAACCUUAACAUAACCAUACGGUUUAACGGCCAGAGUUAUGAAAGGGGUUGAGAAAUUAGAUAAUUUUUAUGUAUAGCAGUUGAAUAAAAUCGAAGCCUACUCACUUUUAAGGACUAUCAGCUUGGGCAAACGCCCUUGAGUGCGUCCGAAAAAGUGAGUAGGCGACGAUUCGACAGUUAUACAUAAAAACCAACAUCGUUAAAUGAGUGGAUAAUGAUAAAAUCCUUUAGAUCAUAGCAGAAGUGUUUGAAUGGCACACCAUAGAAGGUGAGAGUCCUGUACGCGAAAUGGUCUUAGGCAUUAUAUAUCUUUUUUCAAGUAGGACGGGGCACGAGAAACCCUGUUUGAAUCCGGCAGGACCACCUGCCAAGGCUAAAUAUAUUGAUUGAUCGAUAGCGAACUAGUACAGUGAUGGAAAGGUGAAAAGAACCCCGGGAGGGGAGUGAAAUAGA